rnacentral:rRNA from 1 species
UACGGGGGGGGCAAGCGUUGUUCGGAAUUACUGGGCGUAAAGGGUGCGUAGGCGGUGCUCUAAGUCGGAUGUGAAAACUCUGGGCUCAACCCAGAGCCUGCAUCCGAAACUGGAGUGCUAGAGUUCUGGAGGGGGUAGCGGAAUUCCUGGUGUAGCGGUGAAAUGCGCAGAUAUCAGGAAGAACACCCGUGGCGAAGGCGGCUCUCUGGGACGGUACUGACGCUGAGACGCGAAAGCGUGGGGAGCGAACAGG